rnacentral:rRNA from 1 species
UACGUAUGGGGCAAGCGUUAUCCGGAUUUACUGGGUGUAAAGGGAGCGUAGGCGGCCUGGCAAGCCUGAUGUGAAAUACCGGGGCCCAACCCCGGGGCUGCAUUGGGAACUGCCAGGCUGGAGUGCCGGAGAGGCAGGCGGAAUUCCUAGUGUAGCGGUGAAAUGCGUAGAUAUUAGGAGGAACACCAGUGGCGAAGGCGGCCUGCUGGACGGUGACUGACGCUGAGGCACGAAAGCGUGGGGAGCAAACAGG